rnacentral:rRNA from 1 species
AGAGUUUCGAUCCUGGCUCAGGAUGAACGCUGGCGGCGUGCCUAACACAUGCAAGUCGAACGGAGUUACGAUGAAACCUAGUGAUUCGUAACUUAGUGGCGGACGGGUGAGUAACGCGUGGAUAACCUGCCUUACACUGGGGGAUAACACUUAGAAAUAGGUGCUAAUACCGCAUAAGCGCACGGAGCCGCAUGGCUUAGUGUGAAAAACUCCGGUGGUGUAAGAUGGAUCCGCGUCUGAUUAGCUGGUUGGCGGGGUAGAAGCCCACCAAGGCGACGAUCAGUAGCCGGCCUGAGAGGGUGAACGGCCACAUUGGGACUGAGACACGGCCCAAACUCCUACGGGAGGCAGCAGUGGGGAAUAUUGCACAAUGGGGGAAACCCUGAUGCAGCAACGCCGCGUGAGUGAAGAAGCCAUUCGUGAUGUAAAGCUCUAUCAGCAGGGAAGAAAAUGACGGUACCUGAGUAAGAAGCCCCGGCUAACUACGUG